rnacentral:rRNA from 1 species
GAUGAACGCUAGCGGCAGGCCUAACACAUGCAAGUCGAGGGAGAAGCCCUUCGGGGCAGAAACCGGCGCACGGGUGCGUAACGCGUAUGCAACCUACCUUUCACAGGGGGAUAGCCCGAAGAAAUUUGGAUUAAUACCCCAUAAUAUUAUUGGAUGGCAUCAUUUGAUAAUUAAAAUUACGAUGGUGAAAGAUGGGCAUGCGUCCUAUUAGCUAGUUGGAGUGGUAACGGCACCCCAAGGCUACGAUAGGUAGGGGUCCUGAGAGGGAGAUCCCCCACACUGGUACUGAGACAGGGACCAGACUCCUACGGGAGGCAGCAGUGAGGAGUAUUGGUCAAUGGUCGGAAGACUGAACCAGCCAUGCCGCGUGCAGGAAGAAUGCCUUAUGGGUUGUAAACUGCUUUGAUAUGGGAAGAAUAAGGAGUACGCGUACUUUGAUGACGUACCAUAUGAAUAAGCU